UGUUGCCAGCGGUUAGGCCGGGAACUCAAAGGAGACUGCCAGUGAUAAACUGGAGGAAGGUGGGGAUGACGUCAAGUCAUCAUGGCCCUUACGACCAGGGCUACACACGUGCUACAAUGGCAUAUACAAAGAGAAGCGACCUCGCGAGAGCAAGCGGACCUCAUAAAGUAUGUCGUAGUCCGGAUUGGAGUCUGCAACUCGACUCCAUGAAGUCGGAAUCGCUAGUAAUCGUAGAUCAGAAUGCUACGGUGAAUACGUU
rnacentral:rRNA from 1 species